rnacentral:rRNA from 1 species
GACGAACGCUGGCGGCGUGCCUAAUACAUGCAAGUUGAGCGCUGAAGGUUGGUACUUGUACCAACUGGAUGAGCAGCGAACGGGUGAGUAACGCGUGGGGAAUCUGCCUUUGAGCGGGGGACAACAUUUGGAAACGAAUGCUAAUACCGCAUAAAAACUUUAAACACAAGUUUUAAGUUUGAAAGAUGCAAUUGCAUCACUCAAAGAUGAUCCCGCGUUGUAUUAGCUAGUUGGUGAGGUAAAGGCUCACCAAGGCGAUGAUACAUAGCCGACCUGAGAGGGUGAUCGGCCACAUUGGGACUGAGACACGGCCCAAACUCCUACGGGAGGCAGCAGUAGGGAAUCUUCGGCAAUGGACGAAAGGCUGACCGAGCAACGCCGCGUGGGUGAAGAAGGUUUUCGGAUCGUAAAACUCUGUUGGUAGAGAAGAACGUUGGUGAGAGUGGAAAGCUCAUCAAGUGACGGUAACUACACAGAAAGGGACGGCUAACUACGUG